GAUGAACGCUGGCGGCGUGCCUAAUACAUGCAAGUCGAGCGAACGGACGAGAAGCUUGCUUCUCUGAUGUUAGCGGCGGACGGGUGAGUAACACGUGGAUAACCUACCUAUAAGACUGGGAUAACUUCGGGAAACCGUAGCUAAUACCGGAUAAUAUUUUGAACCGCAUGGUUCAAAAGUGAAAGACGGUCUUGCUGUCACUUAUAGAUGGAUCCGCGCUGCAUUAGCUAGUUGGUAAGGUAACGGCUUACCAAGGCAACGAUGCAUAACCGACCUGAGAGGGGGAUCGGCCACCCUGGAGCUGAGCCGCGGUCCAGACUCCUACGGGAGGCAGCAGUAGGGAAUCGUCGGCAAUGGGCGAAAGCCUGACGGAGCGACGGCGCGUGAGUGAUGAAGGUCUUCGGAUCGUAAAACUCUGUUAUUAGGGAAGAACAUAUGUGUAAGUAACUGUGCACAUCUUGACGGUACCUAAUCAGAAAGCCCCGGCUAACUACGUG
rnacentral:rRNA from 1 species